UUGCCAUACAGCAGAGUAGUCACAAAUACUUGAGAAAAGUUAAUAUUUCACAGUUACAUCAUCGUGACUGUGCAGAUAUUCAUUCAUUACAUCACCACCAACAUCCACCGCCGGUUCGGACUGGAUGAGUUAAGAUACGCCAAAAACAUGAGGCAAUAACCUUUUGGAGUGCAUGUUUACUACAUACUCUGGAAAAGCUGAAAAAGAUGUGGCCCUAAUGGUACAGGAAUGCAUUCCUCGCCUUGUUGCCAGGCGGCAUCUCGGUGCCCGCCCCAUCUCAAGGACACCACUGGCACCCGGACACCGUUUUGGGGCAUUAAAAUGCAUCAGACCUCCCCGAGUGCAGCAGCAGCAGCAGCAGGAGCAGCAGCAGCAGCAGGAGCAGCAGCAGCAGCAGCAGGAGCAGCAGCAGCAGCAGGAGCAGCAGCAGCAGCAGCACGGAUGACCUGUUUGGUAUCAGGUGUGAUGUGCCACUAUAAGUGACCUUCUCCAUCUGAUCCUCUGGUCCACUUCCCAGGGAGACAGAGCUGGACGGGCCGGCAUGCAGCCCGCCAUCGAUUCUCCAGCGAGAGGUUAUCUAUACGUGGUAUUUUAAUGUCACGGAGUCAGGCCAAAUUGAUAGUGAUAAAUAUUUGCCGGAAGAUUAGGUGAGGGGAGUGUGUCGAGGGCGCUCCAUCUCAGACCUGUAACCCCGGGCAGAGCUGUUCCUCUCUGUGUCGGAUUAGCCCCAUCCAUCCAGUGUCAAUGGCUGUCUUGUUGAGAAAAUCAGUGAGUAAACACGGCUGACAGACAGACAGAGCGAGAGAGAUGGCGCAGUGAGUGUGUGUGAGUGCAGCGUGUGUGUGUUAGGUGAUACAUGGGCAGCUGAUUACUCAUACAUAUAGACUCAAAACUCUCCAAAAUGUGUGGUUUUUUUGCCUCUGUUCAACUGCUCUCCUCUCUCCCACAUUUACUUCCCCCUGCUGUCUCCAAGGAUCCCCUCACCCCCCAUCCUGCUGUUACCACUUUGUCCCUCAUCAAUCACUGCAGCAUUGUGUCCUGGAUGUUAUAUAGAGUGACUUAAUAUCCCCUCCUUCAUCUCUAUUCACUCCCAAAAUCAUUCUCCAUGAGGGUGUUGCAUGCCGUGUGUGUGUGUGUGCGUGUGCGUGUGCAUGUGCGUGUGUGUGUGUGUGUGUGAGUGUGUGUGGUUGAGGAUGGGACCAUCAAAAGAAAAACAUUUUGAGGCAAACACACCCCGAUCGCUGCAACACAGGAAUCCUCUCCACGUACGAUCCUCACAUGUUCAGAAAUUUUGAUCUGAACUUCUGACAUAAAAAUGACUAUGAAUGAAUGCAGGCUAUCGUGGAUAUUAAUGCACAAUGAUGUAGGGCUUGUUUGUCUUUGUGUGUCAUCCGUUAAAAGACUUGAAAGGUCUCAGUAAAUGUCUCUGAAACACGACGAUGUGGUGAAAUGAACUUAAACAUCCUCCGGCUUUAAAUCCUAGAUUUAAAAAGAUCACCUGACAUUGUGGUUAUAGUCGCUUCCUCGCAGAGGGUUGGAUGAAAUGAUGAUCCUCAGGUCUGUCUGUUAAAUGAAAAAGGAUGUGGCCAUUAGCUUAGCAUAGCAUCAAUGGUGGAAACAGGGAGGGCACUAGUCUGACUCUGUCUGAAGGCGCAUGUUGUUGUUUUUUUGUGAUUAAUAAAAAUAGAAAUAGAAC